rnacentral:rRNA from 1 species
CACGUAGGGGGCGAGCGUUGUCCGGAUUUAUUGGGCGUAAAGAGCUCGUAGGCGGCUUUGUCAGUCGGGGGUGAAACCUCCAGGCUCAACCUGGAGCCGCCACCCGAUACUGCAAUAGCUAGAGUCCGGUAGGGGAGCAUGGAACUCCUGGUGUAGCGGUGAAAUGCGCAGAUAUCAGGAAGAACACCAGUGGCGAAGGCGGUGCUCUGGGCCGGAACUGACGCUGAGGAGCGAAAGCGUGGGGAGCGAACCGG